AUACUUACCUGGCAGGGGAGAUACCAUGAUCAUGUAGGUGGUUCACCCAGGGCGAGGCUCAGCCAUUGCACUGAGGCUGUCUGACCUCUGCGAAUUCCCCAAAUGUGGGAAUCUCGACUGCAUAAUUUCUGGUAGUGGGGGACUGCGUUCGCGCUCUCCCCUG
ensembl:snRNA U1 U1 spliceosomal RNA